rnacentral:misc_RNA from 1 species
UGCAACUCGACUUCAUGAAGUUGGAAUCGCUAGUAAUCGCGAAUCAGCAUGUCGCGGUGAAUACGUUCUCGGGGUUUGUACACACCGCCCGUCAAACCACGAAAGUUGGUAAUACUCAAAAACGGUAGCCUAACUUCUUCGGAAGAGGGAACCGUCUAAGGUAGGAUCGAUGAUUGGGGUUAAGUCGUAACAAGGUAUCCCUACCGGAAGGUGGGGAUGGAUCACCUCCUUUCUAAGGAAUAAUUUUUUAAAUAUUCAUCUUCAGUUUUGAAAGACUUAGUUCUUAUAAGUUUUUCUUUUUUAAGGAAAAGAAAAUGGGCCUAUAGCUCAGUUGGUUAGAGCACACGCCUGAUAAGCGUGAGGUCGAUGGUUCAAGUCCAUUUAGGCCCACCAACUGAAAAAAAGGUCUUUUUUCUAAUUCUUAAAAAAAAAGUUCUUUGAAAAGUAGAUAAACAAAGUAUUUUUUAAAAAUCAAAGAA